AACGAACGCUGGCGGCAGGCCUAACACAUGCAAGUCGAACGCUGUAGCAAUACAGAGUGGCAGACGGGUGAGUAACACGUGGGAACAUACCCUUAGGUUCGGAAUAGCUCAGGGAAACUUGAGGGUAAUACCGGAUAAGCCCUUGGGGAAAGAUUUAUCGCCAUUGGAUUGGCCCGCGUCUGAUUAGCUAGUUGGUGAGGUAAUGGCUCACCAAGGCGACGAUCAGGUAGCNGGUCUGAGAGGAUGACCAGCCACACUGGGACUGAGACACGGCCCAGACUCCUACGGGAGGCAGCAGGUGGGGAAUAUUGGACAAGU
rnacentral:rRNA from 1 species